rnacentral:rRNA from 1 species
GACGAACGCUGGCGGCGUGCUUAAUACAUGCAAGUCGAGCGAGGUUACUGUUUUGGAUCCCUUCGGGGUGAAGAAGCUUUAACCUAGCGGCGGACGGGUGAGUAACGCGUGGGUAACCUACCCCAAAGUCCGGGAUAACAGCGGGAAACCGCUGCUAAUACCGGAUGUCUUUACCUUGGGGCAUCUUGAGGUAAAGAAAGGUAACGCUUUGGGAUGGGCCCGCGUCCCAUUAGCUAGUUGGUGAGGUAACGGCUCACCAAGGCGACGAUGGGUAGCCGGCCUGAGAGGGUGGACGGCCACACUGGGACUGAGACACGGCCCAGACUCCUACGGGAGGCAGCAGUAGGGAAUAUUGCGCAAUGGACGGAAGUCUGACGCAGCGACGCCGCGUGAGCGAUGAAGGUCUUCGGAUCGUAAAGCUCUGUCCUUGGGGAAGAAGGUCUUCGGACUUGACGGUACCCAAGAAGAAAGCCCCGGCUAACUACGUG